GGGGGCGUAGCUCAGUUGGUUAGAGCGUCGGCCUGUCACGCCGAAGGUCGCGGGUUCGAGCCCCGUCGCUCCCGCCA
rnacentral:tRNA from 7 species